rnacentral:rRNA from 1 species
UACGUAGGGCGCAAGCGUUGUCCGGAAUUAUUGGGCGUAAAGAGCUCGUAGGCGGCUUGUCACGUCGGGUGUGAAAGCCCGGGGCUUAACCCCGGGUCUGCAUUCGAUACGGGCUGGCUAGAGUGUGGUAGGGGAGAUCGGAAUUCCUGGUGUAGCGGUGAAAUGCGCAGAUAUCAGGAGGAACACCGGUGGCGAAGGCGGUUCUCUGGGCAUGAUCUGACGCUGAGGAGCGAAAGUGUGGGGAGCGAACAGG